rnacentral:rRNA from 1 species
GGCUCAGAAGCAGCCAUUCCUUGAAAGAGUGCGUAACAGCUCACUGGUCGAGCAUGCGGGCGCAGACAAUGUAACGGGGCUAAGCAUUAUACCGAAGCUGCGGAUCUUGCGCGAAUGCGCAAGGUGGUAGGGGAGCAUGCCGUCAACCGGCGAAGGCGGACCCGCGAGGGCCGCUGGAGGAAACGGCAGAGAGAAUGCAGGCAUAAGUAACGAAAAGACGGGUGUGAUUCCCGUCCGCCGAAAACAUAAGGUUUCCAGGGUAAAGGCAAUCUGCCCUGGGUAAGUCGGAGCCUAAGUCCAGGCCGAAAGGCGUAGGCGAUGGUAAUCCGGUUCAAAAUCCGGAACCUCCGGCAUUUCGAUGCCACGACGCAUGAGGCGACGUCCGGCGGGAGAACGGUAGUUCCCGUCCAAGCAUUGAGCCGUCAAGGGAGGGGGUUAAAUGAUCCUCCCAGGCGAGAUGUGACAGCGAGCGGAGAGAAAGUCGAAGCGAAGCGGGCAGAGUCAAGGUGCCGAGAAAGAGUGGCUAGGCAAGGUGCCGGAGUCCGUACCGUAAACGGACACACGUAUGUAGGAUGAGUAAUCUAAGGCGCUCGAGCGACCUCGCGUUAAGGAACUCGGCAAAAUGCGCACGUAACUUCGGAAGAAGUGCGGCUCCUGUUUGAAAGGAUAAGGAGCGGCAGAAAGCAGGCCCAGGCGACUGUUUAUCAAAAACACAGCCAUCUGCGAACCAGCAAUGGGACGUAUAGGUGGUGACACCUGCCCGGUGCCGGAAGGUUAAGGGGAGCGCUCAGGAGCAAUCCGAAGGUGCGAACCGAAGCCCCGGUAAACGGCGGCCGUAACUAUAACGGUCCUAAGGUAGCGAAAUUCCUUGUCGGGUAAGUUCCGACCCGCACGAAUGGUGUAACGAUUUGGGUACUGUCUCAACAAGGGACCCGGCGAAAUUGUAGUAUGUGUGAAGAUGCACAUUACCCGCGAUAGGACGGAAAGACCCCGUAGAGCUUUACUGUAGUUUAACAUUGGAUUCCGGUAACAUAUGCACAGGAUAGGUGGGAGGCGGAGAAGCAGUGAUUUCGGUUGCUGCAGAGCCGACGUUGGGAUACCACUCUUGUGUUACUGGGGUUCUAACCUGUGGCCGUGAUCCGGCACAGGAACAGUGUUAGAUGGGCAGUUUGACUGGGGCGGUCGCCUCCAAAAGAGUAACGGAGGCGUCCAAAGGUUCCCUCAGAAUGGUUGGAAACCAUUCGAAGAGUACAAAGGCAGAAGGGAGCCUGACUGCGAGACCGACAGGUCGAGCAGGGACGAAAGUCGGGCUUAGUGAUCCGGCGGUAUAGAGUGGAAUUGCCGUCGCUCAACGGAUAAAAGCUACCUCGGGGAUAACAGGCUUAUCUCCCCCAAGAGUCCACAUCGACGGGGAGGUUUGGCACCUCGAUGUCGGCUCGUCGCAUCCUGGAGCGGUAGUACGUUCCAAGGGUUGGGCUGUUCGCCCAUUAAAGCGGCACGCGAGCUGGGUUCAGAACGUCGUGAGACAGUUCGGUCCCUAUCCAUCGUGGGCGCAGGAGAUUUGAGAAGAGCUGUCCUCAGUACGAGAGGACCGGGAUGGACGCACCAAGGGUGUAUCAGUUGUCACGCCAGUGGCACAGCUGGGUAGCCAAGUGCGGAUCGGAUAAACGCUGAAGGCAUCUAAGCGUGAAGCCGACUUCAAGAUAAGAUCUCCCAUCCGCAAGGAGUAAGGCCCCAUGUAGACCACAUGGUUGAUAGGUCGCAGGUGGAAGUGCAGUAAUGUACGCAGCUGAGCGAUACUAAUAGGCCGAGGGCUUGAUCAA